rnacentral:rRNA from 1 species
GAUUCUCAAAGAUUAAGCCAUGCAUGUCUAAGUGGAGUAGAAUAAAGCGAAACUGCGAACGGCUCAUUAUAACAGAUAUAACUUACGGGUCGCGUUCAUUCUUUAAAAGGAUAACUGCGGUAAUUCUGGAGCUAAUACUUGCGUAAAGGGGUGUACUCGCAAGAGCGUACCCUGCACUUAUUGGAGCAAAAUCAUGUUCAAAACAAUGAUGCUAACUCUGGAUAAUUCUGCAUAUCAUAGCGGGUUCGACAAGGACCGAUGAAACGACCUUCAGGUAUCUGCUUUAUCAACUGUCGUUGGUAGUGUAUUGGACUACCAUGGUGUUGACGGGUAACGGAGAAUCAGGGUUUGACUCCGGAGAGGGAGCCUUAGAGACGGCUACCAUGUCUAAGGAUAGCAGCAGGCGCGAAAAUUACCCAAUAUCGAAGCGAUGAGGUAGUGACGAGAAAUAACGAGAUCAUUCUCUUUGAGGUCGAUUAUUGGAAUGAGUAGAAUCCAGCGCAGUCGAACGAGUACCCACGAGAGGGCAAGUCUGGUGCCAGCAGCCGCGGUAAUUCCAGCUCUCGUAAUGUAUAGAAUUAUUGUUGCGAUUAAAAAGUUCGUAGUUGGAUGUGUUAGCGUGCGGUGGGUUUGGCUUCUUGAGUCAAUACUCAUUCGCCGCUUUUGUCAGGAAGAUAGGGGCGGGUGUCAAAACUCGUCUCCUCUCCCCUGACGACUACUUUGAACGGCUCAAGUGCUUCAAGCGUGAUCUUUUGGGGAUCGAAUACCGGUGCAUGGAAUAGUGGAACAAGGCGGCGGCCGAGUUUUCAUGGUUUUGUCGGCGGCCACAAUGGUUAACAGGAACAGCCGGGGGCAUUCGUAUCGCUGCGCGAGAGGUGAAAUUCGUGGACCGUAGCGAGACGCCCGACAGCGAAGGCAUUUGCCAAGAGUGUUUUCAUUAAUCAAGAACGAAAGUCAGAGGUUCGAAGGCGAUUAGAUACCGCCCUAGUUCUGACCGUAAACGAUGCCAACCGUCGAUUCGCCGGCAGCCCUGGGUUGCGGGCGAGGAGAUUGCCGGAAACGAAAGUGUUUCGGUUUCGGGGGAAGUAUGGUUGCAAAGCUGAAACUUAAAGGAAUUGACGGAAGGGCACCACCAGGAGUGGAUUGUGCGGCUUAAUUUGACUCAACACGGGAAAUCUUACCCGGCCAGUACAUCGUGAGGAUUGACAGACUGACAGCUCUUUCGAGAUUCGGUGAAUGGUGGUGCAUGGCCGUUCUUAGUUCGUGGAUGUGAUCUGUCUGCUUAAUUGCGAUAACGAGCGAGACUCUGACUAUUAAAUGGGAGUGUAGUAGCAUGAAAGCUGCACUUUUUCCCCCUCUUAAAGGAAUUUGUGGUUUCUAGCCGAAAGAAAUGGAGCAAUAACAGGUCUGUGAUGCCCUUAGAUGUUCGGGGCCGCACGCGCACUACAAUGGUGGUGACAACGUGAUUGUCCUCGCCCGAAAGGGCUUGGCAAACCCGGCAGAUAUCCGUGUGAUUAUGGCUGGAAUUGAGUGUUGAAAUUUUCGCUCAUGAACGAGGAAUUCCAAGUAAAUGCGCGUCAUCAACGUGCAUUGAUUACGUCCCUGCCCUUUGUACACACCGCCCGUCGCUGCCCGGGACUGAGUUACUUCGAGAAGGCUGGGGAUUGGAUGCGUGCGUUGUGCAAGCAAUGCGCACGUCUGCACACCAGCUUACUCGCAGUGUGUUGAACCGGGCAAAAGUCGUAACAAGGGUAGC